CCCUCGCCCGGAUUGUUUCCUUCUCGUCUGCCGCCAACGUGGUUCUGAACGAUUGCGGUGUAGGGAACGGGAGCGACCUCCUCGCCAUCGCCGCGGUGCAGGCCCAGGGGCGGCGUGGGCGCUCCCGGCUCGGCGGGCGAAGGCCUCUCCCCGGGCGGCCGCGUCAGGGAGAGGAGGGAGAGGAGACAGCGCUCGCUGCCAGCGCAAAACGUCCCCUCUACGCUUUGCAGUUCAGCUUCCUCAGACCACGAGUCUAAUCUGGUCUCCGGUUUGCGCCAAUCUUCUGAACGAUCCCUGAUGUUUGGAAUUAUUUGAAGUUGUUGUGGCCAAACCUCGUAUUUGGGGGGCAAAUCCGCCCAGGGCUGUGUCCAACAAUCCCUGAUGGCUCAGAAAAUUUUCCCCAGUUUCUGAGCGAUCCCGCAGUUAAGGCAGACGAGCAACCCCGCUACAGGUUUGCAGUCGGACUUCAGGAGAAGCUCGCCGAGGUGCCCAGUGGCCGAGUCCAGAUGCAGUGUCAUUUUUCCUAAAUCACCGAAAAAAAAUCUGUGGGUGCUUACAGGAAAACUGGUCACUACACUAACUUGAUGUUAAAGAACUUUUAUAUCCUGUCUUUUUCUCACUUACAAAGGAAAAAAAAAAGGGUUAUUUUUAGAGGUUCUUUUGGGGACGUAUGCAGGGACAUCACAAGCAGUGUUUAAAUCUCACCACAGCAACUGAUUUUUCUAUGCUCUGUCAAUAACAUAUUUGCAGAACUGCCAGAUGGGGAGAGAAACUGCAGUGAGAAAAUAACGGUCAGGUUUGUAGUACUACAAGAAAAAAGGAUCAGAUAUUAGAUACUAGAUUUUAAAAACAUAUUUGGACUAACUUCAAACGUUUAAUGAACUUCUUAAACAGAAACUUUGCAUUGAUCUGUCUGCAACUAUGACAAAAGGGAAGGGUGGAAAAAAUCAUAGCUAAACGUGACACAAAUCCAAACUAAAUACUAUUAAUAAGGAAUAUAAGAAUGGUAAAUAUUUGGAUGAUAAAUCUUGUGGCAGUAUGGGAGUCAGAAGGUUGCUCUGAGCUUUGCAGUAAAGAUUUCUAAUAAGGUCUAUCUAGUCUCUCCUUCUUCCAUUAUGGAGAGGACUGGUAAAAAAAGUGGAGCUUUGAAAAAUUGAUUUUCCCAGGCUCCUCUGUAUACAAUAGCAUUAAAAACAAACAUUUAAGAUAGCAAACUUGCAAAACCUCAGUGCAUUUUUUAACCCAUUUUCAGGCAGCAUUAGAUCAACCACAGAAAUAAUUGCUGUCACUUUGUGCUUUUUGACCAAUAAUUCUCUGUAUUUCCUGCAAGAAACUUGAGUGAUGCAAAUUACCUUAUUUUUACAGCAUGCUUUUAUUAAAUAGUUUAUUAUUUUGGCAGACUAAUAAAGAUUUUGGUAUUUGCUUUUAUUUGCAAUAAUAUUACCACCACAUAAAAAAGGAUUUUAUGUUCUUUUUGAGGAACAAGGAGGAUAAAAGUGUUGAUGGAUAGUGCAACUAAGGCAUCAGCAAUGAGCUGGAAAUGAGACACAUAAAUAUGAAAGCAGAGCUAAGAAAAUAGAACUGCACCCUUGGCCUUUCUUAAAAGAACACGCACAUGCCAUGGUUCAUUCAUACAGUUACAGAAACUCCUUUUGUUUUCAGCAGGGAAAAGGACAAGAUUUCAAUGGGAGUUAUCCCUCCACAGACACCUCGCUGUUUUCCUUUUUAACCACUGCUUAUAUGGGAGAACAUUUAAUUCUAUCUACCUCAGACAUUAGACUAUGUCUUUCAUAGCAUUAAUUACCUAAUUGUUCAGAUAAACAAAUCAGGAUUUCCAAGAAAUAUUUAGGUAUCCUUGACGACCUCACUGGCUAUCCACCCACAUUUUUAGGCACCUGAUCAAUUAUUCAACGUGUUACAAACAAACAUAUUCCACCUGUUACAACAAUCUGGCAUAUUACUUUCUUGAUACGUGAUGAUACAAUACCUCUCAGGUUUGCUGAGUAGCAAAGAGAAAUGUGACAUGUGCAUGGAGAACAAGAAGUGCUACCCUAAAGAUCAUACUUAACAUAUCUACCCAUGGACAGCGAACAAUAAACAGCCUCUGGAGCUUGGCAGAAGUUUCAGUCAAAGGUCAUCAUGGACUUUGCAUAGUUUUGUUUCUUGUAUGAUAAGUAGUCAAAUAAAUUUUCAGACAUUGGAAGUGUAUUUUUCUAUAACACAAAUUUUUAAGCAGGUUUCUUGGCAUGCAUUUUGUUUGUACUGUGCUUGAGGUUGGUUAUGGCAUUAGUGGUUUGUGUGUUUGUGCAUGUUUGCAUUCCGUCUGUUUAUGAAGUAUUUCACUGGUACCCUUACACAGCAUGUGGUCGGUUGAAGAUUGUUUUUGAUAGCCUGCGUAGUCAUCAUGCAUUUUGCUGAAAGGCUUUUACACUAAAAUACGUUAAACACUGCUUGUCAGUUAAGUAAAGACAGGCUUGCAGGUUGUACUCAUCUUCACAGAAGUUAGAUAAAAAAAAUACCUGCACCAUUUUAAAGGUGAAAGUGUGAGUUGGUGGCAAUUUUUCCAACAAUCACGGCAGUUUGGUCUAUUUGAGUAUCAUCAAGAUAGGCCAAUUCUAUUAAUAACUGGAACAGUAGUAUAUUUUUACUAUCCUAGAUGUCAAAAAUAAUUAACAAAUGACUCAUUAUAGUAUAGUAAUACCAUGUGUGUAAGUCAUUUUUUAUAUGAACUACAGAAGCAAACCCAAACCUCUAGGAAGAUAAUAUAAAUCACUUCAGUCUGUAAUUGACAGCUAAGUAUAGGCAAUACUUUCAGGACCCACACACAGGGUUGUGAAAUUAAUCUGUGAAUUACUCUGGGCUUAGAUUGUUAGCUGAUAUUUUUCCUAGUGUUUUGAAAGUAUAGGUUGUUCAGCAUGUGUCUAACAAAACAUUACAGGAAUAGUAUUUGCAAAAAAAUGUAGAUGCUGAACACCUCUAGACACUUACAGGCAUCAGUUCAGUAAGGAUUUUGUGAAUGCUACAGAAUAAAAUAUUGUGUUUUUAUUUAGAUGCCUCACAGCUACUUUAGGAACGUAAUUCUCCCCAUGAAUCUUGUCCUAUAGUUCAAGAAACAUUGCUUCUGCAGAAAUUAUUAAGAAUGUGCAUGAAACUUAAACAGAGCUGACCAAUAAUAAAUGCUUAUGAAAAUUUCACUAUUUUAUUACUAUUUUUACUA